UAUAACGAACCCAAGAAAUAUGGCGCGCGGAAUCAAACUGCCAAAACUCCGACGGCCAAGUCUCCAAAAGAAAGGUUCAGUAAUGGCGGAAACGAUCUCAACAUUUCUCUCUCUCAUUCCCAUUUUCUUAAGGACUCACCAUUUCUCUAGCUUUCACCACUGCAAAAAUGCCGUUUCCAAAUAUCCUCCCCUCUUCCUUCUUCCUUUACCAAACUGAAACAUCAUCACCAUCUCUAUGUUUCCAUUGCUUUAACCUAAUUUCCUCUUCGGUAUUUUUCCUUCUGCCGCUCACACUUUCAGAAGGGGGUAGCAUCCCAGAGAUGGAAGAUGACCAAAAUUUUUGUUCAAGUGGUUGUGACUUUGUGACUUGUGUGGUGGUUCGGCAACAAUGGUGGACGCGGGCAGCUUGAAAUACAAAGACCCUAGGCAAACAGUUUCUGUUCGAGUUAAGGACCUUCUUGGCCGAAUGACUCUGGAAGAGAAAAUUGGUCAGAUGGCUCGGAUUGACAGGAGUGUUGUCAAUGCUACAGUUACGAAAAAUUCUUUCAUCGGAAGUGUGCUAAUUAACUGGCGGUGGAACUGAGCCACUGCCAGGUGCUCGUGCUCUCAAGUCUGGGUUAACAUGAUAAAUGAAAUCCAGAGAGGUUCUCUUUCUAGCCGGGUACACUGAUGAUGACUGGUGUUGAUGCUGUCAUGGCCAUAUUAACAAUGCUACAAUAUUUCCUCAUAUUGUUGGACUUGGAGCU